GGAUCGUAAAGCUCUGUUGUUAGGGAAGAACAAGUGCGAGAGUAACUGCUCGCACCAUGACGGUACCUAACCAGAAAGCCACGGCUAACUACGUGCCAGCAGCCGCGGUAAUACGUAGGUGGCAAGCGUUGUCCGGAAUUAUUGGGCGUAAAGGGCUCGCAGGCGGUUUCUUAAGUCUGAUGUGAAAGCCCCCGGCUCAACCGGGGAGGGUCAUUGGAAACUGGGAAACUUGAGUGCAGAAGAGGAGAGUGGAAUUCCACGUGUAGCGGUGAAAUGCGUAGAGAUGUGGAGGAACACCAGUGGCGAAGGCGACUCUCUGGUCUGUAACUGACGCUGAGG
rnacentral:rRNA from 1 species